ensembl:snoRNA
AUGCAUCUAUUUGACAGACCUGGAGCUGUUAACUGUCUGCUGGUAAGGUUCCAGGGCAAAUGCAAGAAAAAAGGGUCCUCAUGUUUUCUUUCUGUCUGACUGUGGCAGCCAAGAUUGAAUGGGGGAAUACAGUG